GCCAUUUUAUUACCGCUCAUUGGCGACAUAGUUCGUCCCAAAGCUUCCCAUUAAAAAUGUUAUUCAAAAUAAAGUAGUGAAUGUAUUUCUCUUUGGUCUUCAAGGCUAGUUAAGUGAACCAGGCGACAUCUAUUUGAGUAUGAUGGCAGUGGGUAACAGAAGUUAAGGGAUGUAAGGGUAAAUUUCAGGAAUUUUUUUUGGAGACGUUCAAUUCUAUUGACAUGAGCAGCUGCCGUAGGGCUACGUAUGUAUAAAGGCAGCAUGCUCCAAUUUAAACGCACAUAUGCCGAAAACAAUGCCGACUUUGUGUACGGUUCAAAUUGAGAGACCCAAGAAUGUAAUUUAAGUGUUUGGCAAAAUUAAGUUUGCUGUCAAAUAGUACCCCAAAAAUGAAGAGAAUACAAAAUUGUGGAUUACCCAUAUAUGUGCAAUUCCGCGAUAGUUGUAGAUCGACCAGCUUUUUCACCCGCAAUCGAAUUUACAGCCUACUAGUCGCAACAGCGAGUUUUAGAUACUUUUUCCAUCUCUUUUUAGCACAUGUACCUCUUAUUGCCUCGUACUUUGAUCGACAAAAAGAUUCGCCAGAGAAAAAAAUUUUUUUUUUUUCUAGCGAGACGUGUGCUUUGGUCAUACUGUCAAAUCAGCUGGGCUGACAAGCAAAUUAAUUUGAAAAAGCAAAAUCGAAGAUGUUGAACAUAAACUACGCCAGAGUUUAAUUUGGUAUUGGAAUGGUGGCAGAUACGCGGCUUUUUCGUGUUUGUGUUGUUUUCCCCUCCAUUACGCUUCCUCACACAGAUCGACGAAGAAAAUACCAGAAAAUUUCAAGGCGUUGCCAGAAAAAGAACAGAAUAUUUAUUCUUUUGAGCUUGGAGUUGUCGGAGCAUAGUAUUUACCGAGUCAAAAAAAUAUAGGAAAAAACCCAAUAAACGCAGAAAAAUCGACUACAAUAAAAAAAUGUUUACGACAAAAAAUUCGCGAUCUAUAUAUAUGCCACUUUUGUUGAACGCGUCCCAAAAUAUAGCUGAAAACGUUUACAAAGAUUUGGAUUCAUAAUUUUACAUUGGGCGUAUUCAGCAGAACAACAUUAUCACUGAUGGAUCAGUAUUAAGAAAAGGUAGCGUACUAUUUUUACGCUCCUUUUAUGCUGAUUGUGAUGGAAGAAUUUUUGCAACAUGAUCAAUGAUCAUACGCCUUCGGCAGAACUAUCGUAAGAAAUCCAUCAGUGAUCAUGCUGUUCUGCUAAUAAGAUUUAAAACCAAACCAAGUAUGUGCGUCUGCCUGAAAGAAAAUGGCGUUUGCUUGUUUGUUUUGAUGUGUAAAUGAAAACUAACAAAAGCUGGGAAAGCAAACAAAAACUAUGAUUUAUAGCAAAAAUAACCUUGGCAAAGAUCAAUUGCAUACUUAUGUAAGACAAUCAAUUAGCCGAAAUGUAUGCUGUACGCGAUGAGAACUUGCUGCCCUAAGGAGUUUGUACAUUUUAAAGGCGUUACGACUUGAUCUUGAACCAUAUUUAAGCCAUUACCAAGUACCCAAUUAGUUAAAUGACAAUAUAAACUUGAAAAUUCGCUUGCAACUGAUUAAAUUGAAAUAUAUAUCCUCCCGCCUCCGUUUUUCAGCUGUUUUUUGUUGUUAGAUGGGUUGUUGUGCACGAUAGUGUUUAGACUCACUUUUCCCCAUCUCUACAUCCCUAUGCAAAUCCUAUUAAAAGAAGAAAGGAAGCAAACUUUGGCAUGCCGUAGUUUAUAUACCCUAGCAGAGGGUAUUAUAAUUUCAGUCAGAUGUUUGCAACGCAGUGAAGGAGACAUU